rnacentral:rRNA from 1 species
GUAGGGUGCGAGCGUUGUCCGGAAUUACUGGGCGUAAAGAGCUCGUAGGUGGUUUGUCGCGUUGUUCGUGAAAACUCACAGCUCAACUGUGGGCGUGCGGGCGAUACGGGCAGACUAGAGUACUGCAGGGGAGACUGGAAUUCCUGGUGUAGCGGUGGAAUGCGCAGAUAUCAGGAGGAACACCGGUGGCGAAGGCGGGUCUCUGGGCAGUAACUGACGCUGAGGAGCGAAAGCGUGGGGAGCGAACAGGAUUAGAUACCCUGGUAGUCCACGCCGUAAACGGUGGGUACUAGGUGUGGGUUUCCUUCCUUGGGAUCCGUGCCGUAGCUAACGCAUUAAGUACCCCGCCUGGGGAGUACGGCCGCAAGGCU